rnacentral:misc_RNA from 1 species
CGAAAAUACUGACAACUAAACUCAUAUAAUGUAAGCUCCAUCUGACUUUCAUUAGCUUGCAGGAUACAAUAUCUCAGAGGACAACUCAAUUUAAGUUCGCUGCAACAAUCUGUUCAUAGAGGAAUCUGAAUGGGCACGAUUCGAUUGUUCUUCAAUGACUUAUAAUUCAUCAUGCUUAGAUGCAUAUCCUGAUGAUGUCGUUUUAAAGAAGAAAGAUAUUUCCCGGCUAGCAGACUGAGGUGAGUCAGAACCAUGAACACAAUUCUCCUGUAAGUUCAGCCCACAUAUGGCUCUGACACUGUGAGGAUGAGUAACCUUUGCCUUGAGUGGGUCUGUGGGACCAAUUAAUGCACGCCAAUCAGCUAUGGCAUUCCCUUUCUCCAGAACCAUUAUCAACACUGGACCACUGGUCAUGUAUUCAACAAGGCUUGGAAAGAAGCUCCUUGAAGAGUGCUCAGCAUAAAAUCUUUUCACACGAUCCUCAUCAAGCUGAAUGAGCGAUUCCUCUGUGAUUUUGAAUCCAUGAUUGAGAAUUGUCUCCUUAACGGAAUUUGUAUGGUUUCCAGAAACACCAUCUGGCUUUAUUAUAGCCAAUGUCCUUUCUGUUUCUGUAGAAGAGUCUGCCGAACAUCUGUUAGGAAGAGAGAGAAUGGACAGCAGGAAGAAGGGAAGCAACAUUUUUAUGAAGAAUUGAAGAAACUGAAAAAGAUUACAAAACAUUGCAACAAUUUUACCAAAUUGAUAUAAGAAUUUCAGAAGCAAUUAAUGGAAUCUGAUAUUUGGGGGAGAAGAUGCUCAUUCG